UUCGAUUGUUUCAGCCGCCGCGGUAAUACGUAGGGUGCGAGCGUUAAUCGGAAUUACUGGGCGUAAAGGGUGCGCAGGCGGUUUUGUAAGACAGAUGUGAAAUCCCCGGGCUUAACCUGGGAACUGCGUUUGUGACUGCAAGACUUGAGUGUGGCAGAGGGGGGUGGAAUUCCACGUGUAGCAGUGAAAUGCGUAGAGAUGUGGAGGAACACCGAUGGCGAAGGCAGCCCCCUGGGUCAACACUGACGCUCAGGCACGAAAGCGUGGGUAGCAAACAGGAUUAGAUACCCUGGUAGUCCACGCCCUAAACGAUGCGAACUAGGUGUUGGAGAAGGAGACUUCUUUAGUACCGCAGCUAACGCGUGAAGUUCGCCGCCUGGGGAGUACGGUCGCAAGAUUAAAACUCAAAGGAAUUGACGGGGACCCGCACAAGCGGUGGAUGAUGUGGAUUAAUUCGAUGCAACGCGAAAAACCUUACCUACCCUUGACAUGCCAGGAAUCCUGCUGAGAGGUGGGAGUGCCCGAAAGGGAACCUGGACACAGGUGCUGCAUGGCUGUCGUCAGCUCGUGUCGUGAGAUGUUGGGUUAAGUCCCGCAACGAGCGCAACCCUUGUCGUUAAUUGCCAUCAUUUAGUUGGGCACUUUAGCGAGACUGCCGGUGACAAACCGGAGGAAGGUGGGGAUGACGUCAAGUCCUCAUGGCCCUUAUGGGUAGGGCUUCACACGUCAUACAAUGGUCGGUACAGAGGGUCGCCAACCCGCGAGGGGGAGCCAAUCCCAGAAAGCCGAUCGUAGUCCGGAUUGGAGUCUGCAACUCGACUCCAUGAAGUCGGAAUCGCUAGUAAUCGUGGAUCAGCAUGUCACGGUGAAUACGUUCCCGGGUCUUGUACACACCGCCCGUCAAACAAUCACUAGUGAA
rnacentral:rRNA from 1 species